AACUACAAAGGCGAAUUCAUCCAAUAGAAUAACCGGUUUCUGUUUCGUUCAUCCAAUAGCAGUUUAAUUUAGCAAUUUUUAAAAGAUUUCAAAUGAUCAGCCAUGAUAAAAAGUAAUACUUUACAAAAUUUCGUGGUUACGUUAUUAAAUAUUAAAUUAAAUCUUGUAUGACGUAAAAUUAAAUAAAUACAACCGGCGAUGACAUCAUCGUAGCAGUAAUGGCGGAUAAUACAGUUGUUUGUAAGCCAGGAGGUACACGGUCCAGUCAAGCCGGAAAUGCUAUUUUAAACGUACGCGAGUACGUUGGAAGUCAGAAAUCUAUGCCAAACGACAUUUUCAACCAAAUUUCACCGGCUAUGGGUAUUUCUGUAUUUCUUGUAACCGAUGGAAGCGAAACAGCAGAUGAUGGAAAUGGAAAAUACGCUAGUCAAAUUGUCGACAACUGUUAAGAGGAGGCAUUUUUUAGUAUGUUUUUAAAUCAAACAUCGAAUGGAAAAUGGUGAUAAAUUCUCUACAGCCAUCCGUUUUACAUCGUAUCGCCUUAUAGUUAAUCCUAACUGAAAAGACUGGUCGAUCAUCGAAUUUGACCUUGAAAGGACUAACGUUUCGUUGAAAGUAAUGGAUCGCUGUG
rnacentral:lncRNA from 1 species